UACGUAGGGGGCGAGCGUUAUCCGGAUUUACUGGGUGUAAAGGGAGCGUAGACGGUGGCACAAGUCAGAUGUGGAAGCCCAGGGCCCAGCCCUGGGAGAGCAUUUGAGACUGCGGCACUGGAGUGCUGGAGGGGUGGGCGGAAUUCCCGGUGUAGCGGUGAAAUGCGUAGAUAUCGGGAAGAACACCGGCGGCGAAGGCGGCCCACUGGACAGCGACUGACGUUGAGGCUCGAGAGCGUGGGGAGCGAAC
rnacentral:rRNA from 1 species